UGAGUAACCUGCCCUUAACUCUGGGAUAAGCCUGGGAAACUGGGUCUAAUACCGGAUAUGACUCCUCAUCGCAUGGUGGGGGGUGGAAAGCUUUUUUUGUGGUUUUUGGAUGGACUCGCGGCCUAUCAGCUUGUUGGUGAGGUAAUGGCUCACCAAGGCGACGACGGGUAGCCGGCCUGAGAGGGUGACCGGCCACACUGGGACUGAGACACGGCCCAGACUCCUACGGGAGCAG
rnacentral:rRNA from 1 species